rnacentral:rRNA from 1 species
GACAAGAAAUAACAAUACAGGGCUUAUAGUCUUGUAAUUGGAAUGAUGGGAAUCUAAACCCUUCCCAGAGUAUCAAUUGGAGGGCAAGUCUGGUGCCAGCAGCCGCGGUAAUUCCAGCUCCAAUAGCGUAUAUUAAAGUUGUUGCAGUUAAGAAGCUCGUAGUUGAAUUUCUGCCUUAUCAUUAAUUUCGCUUCCGAACGUAAUUUUAUUGAUUUGGCAUCUUCUGGAUUAUAUAUUAUUUUUAAUAUAUUUUUCCAGUAUUUUACUUUGAGAAAACUAGAGUGUUUCAAACAGGCUUUUGCCUUGAAUACUACAGCAUGGAAUAAUGAAGUAGGACUAUUGGUUCUAUUUUGUUGGUUAUCGAACCAUAGUAAUGGUUAAUAGGAGCAGUUGGGGGCAUUCGUAUUUAACUGUCAGAGGUGAAAUUCUUAGAUUUGUUAAAGACGAACUACUGCGAAAGCAUUUGCCAAGGAUGUUUUCAUUAAUCAAGAACGAAAGUUAGGGGAUCGAAGACGAUCAGAUACCGUCGUAGUCCUAACCAUAAACUAUGCCGACUAGAGAUUGGAGGUCGUCAGUUUAAACGACUCCU